AAACGGUAUUUAGGCGGCGGUAAAAGUCAAAGUGGCAUCCGCUUGGAUUUAUGUUUGAACGCGCGCAAAGUGGAGGAUUAUUCUUUAAGCUGGUAAAAGACAAUUUCUUCUAAGAGCUUGACGCCAGUUGGGACUAAAUUCAGGAGAUUUCAGAAUAAAACGCAUGGAAUAAUCAAUGCAGGAAGAAGAGAAAAACGUCACCAUAUGUGUGGAACGAAAAAAAUUUUGAGUUUGUCAUAGAUUUGAAGGAAGUCGUAAAAAAUAGGCAGGACAAUAUUUUCGGAAAUCAUAUACUCCAACUUUUUGAUAUUGAACUUUCAGCUUCCAGAAAUGUGGAAAAUAGUGCUAACAGCGACAGAUUUCAAAGGAAUUUUUAAUCUG